CUCUCCUUGUUAGCAAUAUUAUAAAUUUCCCUCACCUUCCUUUCAAUAUAGUUUAUCAUGUGAAUUAUCAAAUGAUGCAUAUUCCGCCUUACCAGUCCUUCUGCAUCUUUCUUAGCCUUCUUAUAUCUUUCAUAAUCUUAAAUAUCAUUCAUAAUUUUCUAUUUUUUAAAAUAAAUUCUUCUUGCCUUAUUGCCUACAGUACACUAUUAUUGCAUCACCAAGUUUUUUCUUUUUGUUGUGUGCGUGUG
rnacentral:lncRNA from 1 species